rnacentral:rRNA from 1 species
UCUAAAGCUAAAUAUUGGCGAGAGACCGAUAGCGAACAAGUACCGUGAGGGAAAGAUGAAAAGCACUUUGGAAAGAGAGUUAAACAGUACGUGAAAUUGCUGAAAGGGAAACGCUUGAAGUCAGUCGCGUCGUCCGGAACUCAGCCUUGCUUUUGCUUGGUGCACUUUCCGGAUGACGGGUCAGCAUCGAUUUCGACCGUCGGAAAAGGGCUGGAGUAAUGUGGCACCUCCGGGUGUGUUAUAGACUCUGGUCGCAUACGGCGGUUGGGAUCGAGGAACGCAGCGCGCCGCAAGGCAGGGGUUCGCCCACUUUCGCGCUUAGGAUGCUGGCAUAAUGGCUUUAAACGACCCGU